GAGAAUGAAAAAUUGCACAGACGCCUUAUAGAAAGCAAUAAUCGAGCGGGCGGCAAUGAAGGCGAGGUCAGCCUACUCCGCAAUGAACUCCGACAAGCACGUAAACUGCUUCAAGCUAGCAAGAUCGAAAAGUUUGCAAUAGCUGAAGAAGGGGAAAAGGACUGCAAUAAGAAAGUAGCUGAAGUAUUUAAACUAGUAACAGCCAAAGACGCAGAAUUGAAUUUCACAAAUGUUGCGUUUUCAGAUCUUAAAAUUCGAAACGCAAACAGCAAUGAAAGGAGUAUAUUUAAAAAUAACGAUGUAAUCGUCACCGAUGCUGACGAAUGUCGUAAUUUGCUUCGCAUAGAAGAUUUAUGUAUUGUAAGCCCUUCCACGAAUCAGUUUUUCACCAAACCACACUACGAGUACGCCAAAGAUGCACAUGCAAAGAAACAGCGCACUUUUUUUGAAAUGGAGCUUGAGCAACUUCUAUAUUACGCAAAAGGGUUUUCCGAGCGCAGCACGGUUGAAACGACCACAGGUCGCAUAAUAGAAUCAGUCUGCAGAGUCUUUACCGAGUUUUGGACCUAUACCCAAAGCUUGGAGUUACCACAAAACUGUAUGAUGUAUCCCUAUCAUCGUUUCGACCUACAAUCAGAUCACCGUACUUAUAUGCGAUAUUCAUUAAUUCAACCAGGCGCUUUAUACAACCCAGAGCAAGCCAUCCCAUUACGUCGCUAUGUUGGCACAUUGGCACAGAUUUGUCGAGAACAGAGCAGCAUAUCACAUACAUUGCUUCAAAAAAAGUAUGGUAAAUACUGGGUAUUGCAAAUAGUAAUCGAGGCGAUAACUAAAAUAAGUUACUCUUCCGAGGUAUUCGAGCAUUUUGGUGUCCUAGAGGCAACUGCAGCGCUCCUGCACAGCUUUCUGGGUCACAUGAAUCCUGUGGUGAUGUCUACAUCCGGACCUCAACUUGAAUUGCUGUUUGAUUUAUUAAAACAUUUGGUCUUUACUCGUCCAAGUCCCUGGGUUUUUCGCGAACUCAGUGCAUGCAUGUUAUUAUGCUCACGUUACGGUUGGCUUAUGACAGGAAUGUGUGUUAAUAGUCCAAGUAAUUACUUUAUAUCUGAUCGCGUUCGUUCGGUUUACCGGUUUGGGUCGAAAUCGUGUUUAAUACAGGUCUACGCGGGACUCAUCGAGCUAUGUUUAUGUAGCGAACUGCCUCUACAACCAAAUCAUUUUAAAC